rnacentral:rRNA from 1 species
AGAGUUUGAUCCUGGCUCAGGACGAACGCUGGCGGCGUGCUUAACACAUGCAAGUCGAACGGUAAGGCCCUUUCGGGGGUACACGAGUGGCGAACGGGUGAGUAACACGUGGGUGAUCUGCCCUGCACUUUGGGAUAAGCCUGGGAAACUGGGUCUAAUACCGGAUAGGACUACGCGAUGCAUGUCGUGUGGUGGAAAGCUUUUGCGGUGUGGGAUGGGCCCGCGGCCUAUCAGCUUGUUGGUGGGGUGAUGGCCUACCAAGGCGACGACGGGUAGCCGGCCUGAGAGGGUGUCCGGCCACACUGGGACUGAGAUACGGCCCAGACUCCUACGGGAGGCAGCAUCGGGGAAUAUUGCACAAUGGGCGCAUGCCUGAUGCAGCGACGCCGCGUGAGGGAUGACGGCCUUCGGGUCGUAAACCUCUUUCAUAUGGACGAAGCGCAAGUGACGGUACCUAUAGAAGGAGCACCGGCGAACUACGUGCCAGCUCCCGCUAGUAAUAAGUAGGGGCCGAGCGUUGUCCGGAAUUACUGGGCGUAAAGAGCUCGUAGGUGGGUUGUCGAGUUCUCUGUGAAAGCGUCAGUGCUCCGUUGCGGGCGGGGGGG